rnacentral:rRNA from 1 species
UACGAAGGGGGCUAGCGUUGUUCGGAAUUACUGGGCGUAAAGCGCAUGUAGGCGGAUAUUUAAGUCAGGGGUGAAAUCCCGCAGCUCAACUGCGGAACUGCCUUUGAUACUGGGUAUCUUGAGUAUGGAAGAGGUGAGUGGAAUUCCGAGUGUAGAGGUGAAAUUCGUAGAUAUUCGGGGGAACACCAGUGGCGAAGGCGGCUCACUGGUCCAUUACUGACGCUGAGGUGCGAAAGCGUGGGGAGCAAACAGG